rnacentral:rRNA from 1 species
GACGAACGCUGGCGGCGUGCUUAACACAUGCCAGUCGAACGGAAAGGCCCUGCUUUCAGGGUACUCGAGUGGCGAACGGGUGAGUAACACGUGGGUGAUCUGCCCUGCACUUCGGGAUAAGCCUGGUAAACUGGGUCUAAUACCGGAUAGGAGCCAUUUUUAGUGUGAUGGUUGGAAAGUUUUUUCGGGGUAUGAUGAGCUCGCGGCCUAUCAGCUUGUUGGUGGGGUAAUGGCCUACCAAGGCGGCGACGGGUAGCCGGCCUGAGAGGGUGGACGGCCACACUGGGACUGAGAGGCGGCCCAGACGGCGAAGGGAGGCAGAAGUGGGGAAUAUUGAACUAUGGGCGCAAGCCGGAUGCAGAGACGCCGCGGGGGGGAUGACGGCCUUAGGGUUGUAAACUCAGUUCGCUAGGGACGAAGCUUUUUGUGACGGUACCUAGAUAAGAAGCACCGGCUAACUACGUG